UAAAUUACAGCAACAUUCGUCCUAAACCAGGACUGCCAUGUUAUGUUGGCAAAUAAUCUUUACUCCAAAGUAUUGUUGCUGAAUAUCUCUUGUUGUGAGAUUUAAAAAUAGUAAUUUUCUAAUUAAUAAAAGUUGCUUAAUACGAGCCAUCCAGGAUGAAAGAAAAUAACUGAAGUAGUGAACUUCAUCCAUUGCCUGGUUAAUCACCAUCCUCUUGCUGAUGAGUACCUUUAGUGGAGAGCAUUAUUUGCUUUGAGGCCAUCCAUCUGAUCUGAAAAUAACUGCACCAACCACGACGACCACCACCACUAAUAUUGGUGUAAAAUCUGCAGAUUAUCUGAUUCUUAUAUAUCCUCUGUCAUCACAAUUCUUUAAUCUUUGCUAAUUCAAUUUAGUCUAGUCUUCAUUUUACAUAUCCACUCUUUAUCUGCUUCCUGGCUGUAAAUACCAAAUCCAAUCCAAUGUCUAUGAUUGUCCAAAAAUUUCUAUCAGUAGAACUUAUUGGAGUUAUAUCCCUUGAUUGUUGCUUUUUAAAACUAUUUUUAGCACUAUUAGAAGGAGUUUUUACUUUCUAAUUGAUUUCAGUUGAUCAGUUUUUCAACUCCCUAGACACAUGCAUACCUUAGAUUCAGUCAAAAGGUGUUAAUUCCAACGAGAUGAGUUCUUAAAGCCACUCUCACCAAUCAUUUUGCUUUUUUGUACCAGUAUGACUCUCCAGUGACUGUCGCUGGGCCCUUUUUGUACCAACCUGUCUGACACACUCCCUCGUCCUAUCAUACAAAUUACUUCUUUUAAAGUUAUCUAAAUUUAAACAUCAAAAUCUCAUGUUAAUUUCUGCUCCAAAUACCAACUUAAUAAUGUAAUUGUUUUCUAAAUUAAGUGAAAAAAAAUAGGCAGCAUAUUUCAACAGAAAUAUGUAACAAAAACGGUCAAGUGAGGACUAUUGACCACUCCAAGUAUCAUAUUUCUAUAUUGUAAUGAUAGUAUAUGUGUGUGCUCUUUCAUAAUUCUGCCUGCUAGUACCAUGUGUUUGUGUGUACUUAUUUCAGAAGCUGGUAUUUGGUAAUCUUUCAAAAAGUGAUGCAUUUACAUUUAGUAUAAACCCACUCAUUGUAAAGUUUAGGGAGUAAAUGUAAGGACCAAAUAUAGAGCUCGACUACUCCUUAAGGCAGUGUUUGUUGUCAGUCUCUUUGGUCAAGCAAUAUUAGUGGCCAGGAUCUCUUGGACGAUAUCAAUGGUUCCCAAACAUUAUCACAAUUCAUUUUGGUAAAUUCCUAAUCCACCCACAUUUUUUUCUCAUUUAAAUGUUUUUAAAAAUCAGUUUGAUGAACUUCGCAGUCAAUCCUUGUUUUGUGAAGGAACUAUUCCUGUUCUUAUUUGCGGUAAAUGUUGAAUUGUAGCCCUUAUGCUUCCUGUGGUUUGUUGUACAUCUCCCCCUCUUUAUCAUGAUUGCAAAAGAAUACAGUGAUAAAUGAAUCGUCUCCAUGCACUUUGUAAAUGGAACAAAUGGUAGAUUUAUUGGCACCAGACUUGCAGUUCACAGCAACAGAACUUCCACCACCAAGUACCUCUCUGACCAUUUCUGUCUUUUCCUGUAGCGAAUCCACUCACCUGCUUCCUUUGAUCUAGCACCUUUGUGUGUUUUGGUUUCUUUUCGCUGGUCCCAUGUUAAUGGCUAGGAGUAUGUAAAUCUAUGUAAGAACCAUGCAGCCUCGCAACACAGCCGUGUAAAAAGAAGCAACAGUCAGUGCAUUCUGGGUAGCUGGACAUCAUGGGUGGUUACUGAGGUGUAUUUUUGCAGAAUCUUCAACUGAUCAUCGAUUGGUGUUGUUACAGGUCAAUUUGUGAUGAGUGUAUCUGUAUCGUGAUUCACAAUUGAGUGUAUCGUGUUAUCGCAGAUCAGUGAUAACUGAGGCUCCAUGGACAAUAUAUUCUUAAAGUUUUAUGUUCUCUCAAAUGUAGAUGAUUUUCUGUGUUUGUGAUCCUGUCAGAAUUACCCUGUAACACAUCGGCAACUGCUGGAUUCUGAUAAUUGCAUCAACAAUAUUAAUUACUGAUCAGGUAACGAGCUGGCAGAAUUCUUAGUACAGCAGUCAGAAUGCUUCACAGCGUUUAACCUGUCCUCAUGUUCUGAGUUCAAAUUCUGCCAAGGUCAACUAGUUCCUACCCUCAAAGUUGCUGACCUUGUGUCAAGAUUUGAAACCAAUGUUAAAAGCCAAUAAUCCCUAUUACAAUGGUUGGGGGUCACACCCCAAGGAGAUUUCAAUGGUGCAACUCUCUGAUCUUCCAAGACUGAAAGCUACCUAAGACAUUCCUCCUCUUGUCCCUCUCUCAUACUUUCUUAUCCCUCAAUCCCUAUACCCCAACUAGAUGAGGGGUUCUUGUCUUGUGGGCACUGGUGCCUCACAAAAAGCACCCAAUGCACCCUGUUAAGUGGUUGGCAUUAGGAAAGGCAUCCAGCUUGUAGAAACCAUACUAAAACAGACAAUGGAGCUUGGUACAUCCCUGUUGCUUGUCAGUUCAUGCUGAACCAUCCAACCCAUGCCAGCAUAGAAAAGCAGACACCAGAUGAUGAGGAUCCCAAAUAUCGAUGGCGCAGAAGCUGAAGUCUAACACAACUGAUUACCAUUACCACCUCCGCCACUUCCCUGGUUGUGAUGAGGAUCCGUCUGCACCAGUUGUUUCGGUGUCUUGCAGGAAACAGGGGUGGGGGGUAUACAGUUUCACAUUUCAUAAUCCCUUGAACUGUAAAUACAAGGCCCAAGAAUUCCCCCCCACCCACCCACCCACCAUAACCCAACAUCUUAUUUGCAACCCAUAUUCUGUCCCUUUCUUCUGCGUUUUGUGCCAUUUACUGAUUUUAUGAAAUUUUGUGGCUUGUAAAAAAAAAAUAACAACAAUAAUAAGGGUGGGGGUCUUUUCUCUCGUUAACAUAUCAUAAUUAUUUUUGUCCAAUUCGCCCAAUUCCUUCUUGAUGCUAUUUUACCGCAUUGUAUUUUUACAAAUGUUUCCAGUUACUUUAUUACCAAAAUGGAAAAUUUCAUUAAAUAAUAUAUCCUAAUGAAAAAAUAAAAAUAAUUU